rnacentral:rRNA from 1 species
GACGAACGCUGGCGGCAGGCUUAACACGUGCAAGUCGAACGAGAAGCUCACUUCGGUGAGUGGAAAGUGGCAGACGGGUUAGUAACGCGUGGGAACGUGCCCUCCGGUACGGAACAACAGUUAGAAAUGACUGCUAAAACCGUAUACGACCUCCGGGUGAAAGAUUUAUCGCCGAAGGAUCGGCCCGCGUUAGAUUAGCUUGAUGGUGGGGUAAAGGCCUACCAUGGCGACGAUCUAUAGCUGUUCUGAGAGGAAGAUCAGCAACACUGGGACUGAGACACGGCCCAG